CCUCGCUCACGACGAACGCUGGCGGCGUGCCUAAUACAUGCAAGUCGAACGAACUCUGGUAUUGAUUGGUGCUUGCAUCAUCAUUUACAUUUGAGUGAGUCGCGAACUGGUGAGUAACACGUGGGAAACCUGCCCAGAAGCGGGGGAUAACACCUGGAAACAGAUGCUAAUACCGCAUAACAACUUGGACCGCAUGGUCCGAGCUUGAAAGAUGGCUUCGGCUAUCACUCUUGCAUGGUCCCGCGGCGUAUUAGCUAGAUGGUGGGGUAACGGCUCACCAUGGCAAUGAUACGUAGCCGACCUGAGAGCGUAAUCGGCCACAUUGGGACUGAGACACGGCCCAAACUCCUACGGGAGGCAGCAGUAGGGAAUCUUCCACAAUGGACGAAAGUCUGAUGGAGCAACGCCGCGUGAGUGAAGAAGGGUUUCGGCUCGUAAAACUCUGUUGUUAAAGAAGAACAUAUCUGAAGAAGUUAACUUCUUCAAGGAAGGAACGGACCACC
rnacentral:rRNA from 2 species